rnacentral:antisense_RNA from 1 species
AGAUGACGUUUUGCUCUUGUUGCCCAGGCUGAAGUGCAGUGGCAGGAUCACGGCUCACUGCAGCCUCAAUCUCCCAGGCUCAGGCGAUCCUCCCACCUCAGCCUCCUGAGUAACUGGGACUACAGGCACGCACUACCACGCCCAGCUAAUUUUUGUUUUUUUAUCUUACGUGGAGACAGGUUUUGCCGUGUUCCCCAGGCUGGUCUCAAACUCCUGGGCGCAAAUGAUCGACCUGCCUCCGCCUCCCCAAGUGUUGGGAUUACAGGUGAGCCACUGUGCCCAAGCUAUUUCACUAUUUCAUCAGCGCACUUAAAUGCCUAUUUUUUUAAGUGGCUACAGGGCAACAAGACUAUCCCUGUGCCAAAUACCAGAUUCUAAAGAAAAUCUACCCACGUAACAAACCUGCACGUGGAUCCCCUGAAUCUAAAAUAAAAGUUGAAAUUAUGAAUAAAUAAAGC